rnacentral:rRNA from 1 species
UACGGAGGGUGCAAGCGUUAUCCGGAUUCACUGGGUUUAAAGGGUGCGUAGGCGGUCAGGUAAGUCAGUGGUGAAAUCCCCGAGCUUAACUUGGGAACUGCCAUUGAUACUAUCAGUCUUGAAUACCGUGGAGGUCAGCGGAAUAUGUCAUGUAGCGGUGAAAUGCUUAGAUAUGACAUAGAACACCAAUUGCGAAGGCAGCUGGCUACACGAAUAUUGACACUGAGGCACGAAAGCGUGGGGAUCAAACAGG